UACGGAGGGAGCUAGCGUUGUUCGGAAUUACUGGGCGUAAAGCGCGCGUAGGCGGCUUUGUAAGUUAGAGGGGAAAGCCCGGAGCUCAACUCCGGAACUGCCUUUAAAACUGCAUCGCUUGAAUCCAGGAGAGGUGAGUGGAAUUCCGAGUGUAGAGGUGAAAUUCGUAGAUAUUCGGAAGAACACCAGUGGCGAAGGCGGCUCACUGGACUGGUAUUGACGCUGAGGUGCGAAAGCGUGGGGAGCAAACAGG
rnacentral:rRNA from 1 species